AGAACGAACGCUGGCGGCAUGCCUAAUACAUGCAAGUCGAACGAACUCUUCGGAGUUAGUGGCGUACGGGUGCGUAACGCGUGGGAAUCUGCCCCUUGGUUCGGAAUAACAGUUGGAAACGACUGCUAAUACCGGAUGAUGGCGAAAGUCCAAAGAUUUAUCGCCAAGGGAUGAGCCCGCGUAGGAUUAGCUAGUUGGUGAGGUAAAGGCUCACCAAGGCAACGACCCUUAGCUGGUCUGAGAGGAUGAUCAGCCACACUGGGACUGAGACACGGCCCAGACCUCUACGGGAGCAGCAGUAGGAAUAUUGGACAAUGGGACGAAAG
rnacentral:rRNA from 1 species